UACGUAGGGUGCGAGCGUUUGUCCGGAAUUAUUGGGCGUAAAGAGCUCGUAGGCGGUCUGUCGCGUCGAUCGUGAAAACUUGGGGCUUAACCCUGAGCUUGCGGUUGAUACGGGCAUGACUGGAGUUCGGCAGGGGAGACUGGAAUUCCUGGUGUAGCGGUGAAAUGCGCAGAUAUCAGGAGGAACACCGGUGGCGAAGGCGGGUCUCUGGGCCGAUACUGACGCUGAGGAGCGAAAGCGUGGGGAGCGAACAGG
rnacentral:rRNA from 1 species